ACCUAAAUAGUUUAAGGAAAAUAUUGAUUUGUGGUGUCAAAGAUGUAAUUAGUUACUUUGGGUA
rnacentral:tRNA from 1 species